rfam:Oryza glaberrima chromosome 10 Oglab10_0057_1, whole genome shotgun sequence.
UGUAAGUGUAGUUAUGGAUUGUCGUGUCCAACGUUUGACCGUUUGUCUUAUUUAAUUUUGUUUAUGAUUAGUUUUUUAUUGUUAUUAGAUGAUGGAAUAAUACUUUAUACAUGACUUAUGUUUUUAAUUUAUUUUUUAUAAACUAUUCAAAUAAUGCGGACAGUUAAACGUUGGACAUGGAAACCCGCAAGUGCAUUUAAA